AAAUAACUAAAAGAUAUAAAUAAAUAUAAAAAUAAAAAAAUUAUUAUGUAAUUUUAUAAGUUAAAAAAAAAGACUUUACCUCACACACUGUUUCUUUUCUCUCCAAAUAUUUCUUUUCUCUCCAAAUCGGAGAGAACGAACUCAAAGGAAAAUAUUAGAUAUUUUCUUUUACUCCUCAUUUUUUCUCUAUUUUUUUUAAAUAUCACAUCAUAAAUAUUUUUUAUAAUUUAUUUUCCUGCCUCUCUCUUUUUUUCCGAUCCAAACAAGCAAGUUAAAGAUUUUCUCAAGAAAAGCUGAUAAGCUUAUAUCUAGAGUUUUCCAUCCACUAGCAAAAGGGCUAGUUAGUAGUUAAAUUUCAUCCUUGAAAAUUGAGUUUAUUUUUAAUUUAGUUUAAUUGUUUUAGAAGUAUUAAUUUAAAUUUA
rnacentral:misc_RNA from 1 species